UGAGGAAUAUUGCGCAAUGGAGGAAACUCUGACGCAGCCAUGCCGCGUGCAGGAAGACGGCCUUACGGGUUGUAAACUGCUUUUGUAUGCCAAGAAACUUUAGUACGUGUACUAAACUGACGGUAGCAUAUGAAUAAGGAUCGGCUAACUCCGUGCCAGCAGCCGCGGUAAUACGGAGGAUCCAAGCGUUAUCCGGAUUUAUUGGGUUUAAAGGGUCCGUAGGCGGAAAAUUAAGUCAGUGGUGAAAUCCUACAGCUUAACUGUAGAACUGCCAUUGAUACUGGUUUUCUUGAGUACAAAUGAGGUGAGUGGAAUGUGGCGUGUAGCGGUGAAAUGCAUAGAUAUGCCACAGAACACCAAUUGCGAAGGCAGCUCACUAACAUGUAACUGACGCUGAGGGACGAAAGCGUGGGGAGCGAACGGG
rnacentral:rRNA from 1 species